AUUAAGUUCAAGAUGGGGAGGGGUUGGGGUGAGGGCUGGCCUGUCUGAGGAGGGGCAUUUGCAGUGCUGGAGCAAGCCAUGGAGGACAGGAAUUGCUCCAGUCAGAGGAACAGCAAGGACAAGGGGCCCAAGACGGCAUGUACUAGAGGCUCCACGCAUAGAAAAAGCCAGCCAUCCCCAGCGCUGUAACUGAGUGGCCAGUGGUGGGAGGUGAGGUCACAGACGCGGAGGGGGCAUACAUGGGUCUUUGUAAUAGUUAAUUUUAUGCAUCAACUUGACUGGAUCACAGUGUGCCCAGAUAUUUGAUCAAACAUUAUUCUGAGUGUUUCCGUGACAAUGUUUUUGGAUACAAUCAACAUUUAUUUAAUUGGUUGAAGACCUGAAUAGAACAAAGAGUUCAAUUCUCUCAAGUAAGAGAAUUCCUCCUGUCUGACUACUUCAGAAUUGGGACAUUGGCUUUUUCCUGCCUCUACACUACAACUACACCAUCAAGCCUUCAGACAUGGAAAGGAACCACACUAUUGGCUCUCCUCGGUCUUCAGCUUGCCAACUCAAUGCAGAUCUUUGCAUUUGUCAGCCUUAUAACCAUGUGAGCUAAUUCCCUAAAAUAAAUGUCCUCAUUUAAAUGUAUUUCCUAUUGCUGUUUCUCUAGAGAACUCUAAUACAACCCCAUACAAAAGUACACCACACUAGAAGAAUUGGGUUAAAUCGAAUUACAAAAAAAAGAAGAAGAUUAAACUCAUAUGCUCAUAAUUUGGGACUUUCAUGUUUGUAAUUAUCUGCUAAAUUCCCUCAAUGGCCCAUUUCAUAGAAGAGCAGAACUCCAUGGCUCCUAAGACUCUAUGUGCCCCUCAGUCUGUUGCCACCAGGCCUCUUCUCUUGCAACUCUCAUGCUCAUUGACACAUUCCAGCCAUGCUGGCCUCCUUGAUACUCCUCAACAGGCCAGGCAGGUCCUGCCUCAGGGCCUUUGCAUGUGCUGUGCCUCUGCUUGGACUGCUCUUCUCCCACAUCUCCACAUGGCUGCCUCCCUCCCUCCCAUCUUUACUAAGCUGCUGCCUUCCUUGGGAGCUCA
rnacentral:lncRNA from 1 species